UACAGAGGGUGCAAGCGUUAAUCGGAAUUACUGGGCGUAAAGGGCGCGUAGGUGGUUAUUUAAGUCAGAUGUGAAAUCCCUGGGCUUAACCUAGGAAUUGCAUUUGAAACUAGAUGGCUAGAGUGUGGUAGAGGGAAGUGGAAUUUCCGGUGUAGCGGUGAAAUGCGUAGAUAUCGGAAGGAACACCAGUGGCGAAGGCGACUUCCUGGACCAUUACUGACACUGAGGCGCGAAAGCGUGGGGAGCGAACAGG
rnacentral:rRNA from 1 species